CUGCUCAAUAUUACCCAAUGACUACAUGAAUGCCAUCCUGCGUGUAUAAAAUGAGUGCCAGGGACCGGUAGGUACACAUCUGUCCAUCACCUGAUCCUGUCUGUCUGCUCCGAUCCAGAGAAGUCUUCGGUCUUUGUUUUCAGUCCGCGGAAAGGAUGAAGUGUAUUGCGGUCUUCCUCGUGUUGUCCAUGGUCCUCCUCAUGGCUGAACCUGGAGAGUGUUUCUGGGAAUGGCUUGCCGGCCAUGUGAUCAAUGGGAUCACGAAAGGAAAGGUGAAGGACCAGCAGGAGCUGCUAAUCCAGCUGGACAAACGUUCAGCUGACUACAACCCUGGCCCCCCCCCACCCCCGGGGCCCCCGAGUUUUCACUAGACUGAAGCCCCCCUGAAGAUAUGAUGAUGAUGAUGAUGAUGAUGAAAACACAUUCUGCUUCUUGCUCUUUCUUAUGCUGUAAGAAAAGAAAGGUUCAACUGCAGCACUCUUUAGUUCAUUUGGUAGAAUGUGAGUCCUUCUGAAUAAAUCUGCAUUAAAAAAACAUAACAUAUU